rnacentral:rRNA from 1 species
UACAGAGGUCUCAAGCGUUGUUCGGCUUCAUUGGGCGUAAAGGGUGCGUAGGCGGCGCGGUAAGUCGGGUGUGAAAUCUCGGGGCUUAACUCCGAAACUGCAUUCGAUACUGCCGUGCUUGAGGACUGGAGAGGAGACUGGAAUUUACGGUGUAGCGGUGAAAUGCGUAGAUAUCGUAAGGAAGACCAGUGGCGAAGGCGGGUCUCUGGACAGUUCCUGACGCUGAGGCACGAAGGCCAGGGGAGCAAACGGG